GUCCUGGUUUGUUCAGAAUAAGCUCCAGCUGCCUACGGUUAAAAUUGGAUACACCGAGGGAUUUCACCAAGCCAGCAUCUUUGCAAGCUUCUAAAGCCUGUAGGGUAAGAGCCAAUGGGUCAAGAAAGAAACCUCAACACAAGCAGGAAUAAACAUUUAUAAAGGAAAAUUCUGCCAAUCCCUACUAAGAUCUGAACCAAUAAUGUCACCAAAAUGGCGGCAUGGGAGACCCCAGCCUCCAGUCCUCCAACAAAGAUCAACAAUGAAAUAGCUAUCCAUGGGGCAUCCCUGGUGGCACAGUGGUUAAGAAUCCGCCUGCCAAUGCAGGAGACACGGGUUCGAGCCCUUGUCCAGGAAGAUACCACAUGUCGCGGAACAACUAAGCCCGUACGCUACAACUACUGAGCCUGCGCUCAUGAGCCCGCGAGCCACAACCACUGUGCCCAUGUCCAACAACUACUGAAGCCCGCGUGCCUAGAGCCUGUGCUCCUGAGAAGCCACCACAAUGAGAAGCCUGCACACCACAAUGAAGAGUAGCCCCUGCUCACCGCAACCAGAGAAAAGCCUGCGUGUAGCAACGAAGACCCAACGCAGCCAAAACUAAAAUAAAUAAAAUAAAUAAAUUUAUAUUAAAAAACAAUAAAAUAGCUAUUCAUGAAAAAACAAAACAAAACAAAACAGCUAUUCAUGAAUACAAAUGGGGAGAUGUUGGUCAAAGGGUACAAACUCCCUGUUCUAAGAUGAAUAAGUUCUGGGGAUCUAAUGAACAGCAUGGUGAUUAUAGAUAACAAUACUGUAUUAUAUACGUGAAAGUUGCUAAGAGAAUAAAUGUUAAAUGUUCUCAUCACAGAAAAUAAAUGGUAAUUAUGUAAUGUGA